rnacentral:rRNA from 1 species
UACAGAGGGUGCAAGCGUUAAUCGGAUUUACUGGGCGUAAAGGGCGCGUAGGUGGUUGCGUAAGUGAGAUGUGAAAUCCCCGGGCUUAACCUGGGAACUGCAUCUUAUACUGCGUAGCUGGAGUGCAGUAGAGGGUAGUGGAAUUUCCGGUGUAGCGGUGAAAUGCGUAGAUAUCGGAAGGAACACCAGUGGCGAAGGCGGCUACCUGGACUGACACUGACACUCAAGUGCGAAAGCGUGGGGAGCAAACAGG